AAUUCAUAUUGCCCAUAUGUGAACUCACACACCAUACACACACACACACUCACUUACUGAGACACCGUGUGCCACACGCCCAUUUGCACACAUGGCCAACCGGAUGUUGCAGCCAUCUUUGUCAUCUUUUUCAAUCUCAGCCUUGGCUAAGGUCGCUCCUGCCAUCCGAUGUCAUCCCAUCGACCAGAAAGAGACAGCAGCAGCGAGCGAGCGAGCGAGAAAGAGCCGGGUGGCUGGCGAUGCCGUGAAGUCGUGAAUUUAUAACAAAACGCUAGACUCGGCGACUCUGACCGACUGGUUUGGCGUGUUGGCCCGGCUGAAAUGGUUUUUUUUGUUGUUUUUAUGGCCAUAACAAGCAGGCAAGCAGAGCAGCAACAACUGUAUCAAAAGCAUACAAAUGCCGCAACCCAAAAACCCACUACACAAAUUCUGAAUGGGCAAAACAUCUGAAUAUUCGAGAUGGUCGAGAGAGAGAGGGCGAGAGGGGUGGAGAGCCGUCGAUAAGGAAGUGCGGAUGUCUUUGGGGUCCCUGCUUGGCAAGAUGGAAAUCUUAAUCCAAACGGAUGGGAUGGGAAUCUGGAUGGGAAGUCGAGUAACACACACACACUCGUAAACGGACUUCUUGGGAACCCAGGCACUUCCGGAAAGGAU